UACGAAGGGGGCUAGCGUUGCUCGGAAUCACUGGGCGUAAAGGGUGCGUAGGCGGGUCUUUUAAGUCAGGGGUGAAAUCCUGGAGCUCAACUCCAGAACUGCCUUUGAUACUGAAGAUCUUGAGUUCGGGAGAGGUGAGUGGAACUGCGAGUGUAGAGGUGAAAUUCGUAGAUAUUCGCAAGAACACCAGUGGCGAGGGCGAGUCCCUGGACAACACCUGACACUGAGGCAC
rnacentral:rRNA from 1 species